rnacentral:rRNA from 1 species
AUAAGAAAUUCAUAAGGGCGUAUGGUGGAUGCCUUGACUCUAAAAGGCGAUGAAGGACGUGGCAUGUCUGCGAUAAGCUUCGGGUAGGUGACUAGCAACCUGUGAUCCGGAGAUUUCCGAAUGGGGGAACCCAAUCUGUUGAACACAGAUUACCUUGUAUCUGUAAAGGAUACUCGGAGUGCACCUGGGGAAGUGAAACAUCUCAGUACCCAGAGGAAAAGAAAACAAUGUCUAUUUAUUUAGAUAAUAUUUCGUAAGUAGCGGCGAGCGAAAGCGAAAGAGCCCAAACCGUCGUUUCUCAUUACAUUUGAAACGAAGAAUUAGAAUUUAGUAUAAGAAUUAGGAACAAAAAUUUUCAAAGAAAAUUUUUGUUAAACCUAUCCCUCAUACUUUUCCCUAAUACUUCGCUUCGAGCGUAGCGAGAAGCGACGGGGUUGUAGGACAACAGUGUCAUUCUUGUAAUGAAAAAAGUCAAAAAAUAUUUUGUUAGUUGAAUCUGCUGGGAAGCAGGACCCUAGAGGGUAAUAGUCCCGUAAACGAAAACAAUCUAUCUUUUUUAUUGUUGUUCCUGAGUACCUCAAGACACGAAUGGCUUGGGGGAAUCUGCCGGAACUAACCGGUAAGGCUAAAUACUUUUAGAGAUCGAUAGUGAACAAGUACCGUGAGGGAAAGGUGAAAAGAACCCCGGAGAGGGGAGUGAAAUAGACCUGAAACCAUAUGCCUACAAGGAGUGGGAGCCGUCGUAUCUUACUGCGUAAGAACGACGGAAUUAUAAAUGAUAAAUUUUUAAUUUCGUCGCAUCUUACAUAGCAAGAUGCGACGGUGACCGCGUGCCUAUUGAAGAAUGAGCCAACGAGUCUAAAUAUGCAGCUGCCUAAUUGCGUUAGCAAGGAGGCACAGCGAAAGCGAGUGUGAAUAGCGCGAAAAAAUUAAGUUGUAUGUUUAGGACCCGAAGCCAAGUGAGCUUGCCAUGAGCAGGGUGAAUUUCGUCGAAAGACGGAAGGAGGCCCGAACCGGUUAGUCGUUCAACUCUAUCGGAUGACUUGUGGCAAGUAGUGAAAAGCUAAUCGAACUUGGUAAUAGCUGGUUCUCUCCGAAAUAGCUUUAGGGUUAGCGUCUAGAUUACCUACUGGGGGUAGAGCACUGGAAGGAUUGAAUAGGGGGAAACUUCGUCAAUCCUAUCAAACUCCGAAUACCAGUAGUCAAUUUCUAGGCAGUUAGACUGUGGGGGCUAAGCUCCAUUGGUCAAAAGGGAAACAGCCCAGACCUACAUCUAAGGUCCCAAAAUUCAUACUAAGUGCACUUAAGGAGGUGAAAUUUCUCAGACAAUGAGGAGGUUGGCUUAGAAGCAGCCAUCCUUUAAAGAUAG